rnacentral:rRNA from 1 species
CCCUUAGAUGUUCUGGGCCGCACACGCGCUACACUGAAGGAGGCAGCGUGUACUCCUGGAUCGAAAGAUUUGGUUAACCCGCGAAUCUCCUUCGUGCUAGGGAUUGAGGUUUGCAAUUAUCCUUCAUGAACGAGGAAUUCCCAGUAAGUGCAAGUCAUAAGCUUGCGCUGACUACGUCCCUGCCCUUUGUACACACCGCCCGUCGCUACUACCGAUUGAAUGAUUUAGUGAGGACUUCGGACUGGGACCGAUGCGGCUUUCGGGCUGCGUCGGUAUUCUGGAAAGAUGUCCAAACUGUAUCAUUUAGAGGAAGUAAAAGUCGUAACA